CAAUGAGGGACUCCUAGUUGGUCUGAAUAAUACAGAGACAACUUUAAGAAACAGUGCUUAGUGUAAAUGACUAGAGAAAUAUCCAGGAUAGUCAACUCCCUGCCCCUCUGAUUGGCUACAGACAUUUUAUUUGGUUUAUACACUUUAUUUUUCUGUAUAUGUUAUGAUCUUUUAAGCUACAGAAACAUACAUGACACUAAAAAUAAUUUCAACAGUAAGGAGAUGGAUUAUCUCACCUAACAAGUCUGGAGGUUAAAGGGGGAGGGGGACAGGGCUGGUUAUGUCAGUGGCCUCAGAACCCCCACUCCCAUCUUUCUAGUCUGUCUGUGGCUUUCCAGAUUGGAAAAAGAUUGCAGCAGCUCCAGGUGUUAGAAUUUUAGGCCAGAGGCCUGACUCUUGGCAUCUCCACAGAGCAGAUUCAGCUUUGCACCCCAAGAAAAAAAAAUCAAAUGGAAGAGGGUGAUGGUGGGGUAACAAAGGAACUUAUUUUCAGUGGGUCGACACAAGGAAGACAGGCCUAAGGACCACCGUAAAGCCAUCAACAGCAGCUUUGAGGCCAGGGUUGGGAGCUUUGCUGCAGAGGAACUCAUUUUUAUAAGUUAUAACAGACCAUACUCCCCAUUAACUGUCAUCCGUGAACUACAGCAUUGUCUGUAGUUCAUGUACAUAUUACUUCUAGUCAUUCCAACAACCAUAGAAGUUCUCCUGGCCCAGGCCAUGCCCAGGGUAAGUAUUGUGGCUGAAUGGCCUGAGGGACCCAGACUUCAUCUCUAGUGUGGCCUGGCUGUUCUCAGCGGCAUAGACCAAGGUGACUGCUCCAGGUUCCACUGUCAGGG
rnacentral:lncRNA from 1 species